CAGGAUGUGGCACACAGCUCAAGCUCAACCAUGAACUAGCCUCCCUUUGAGAUCGCUCUCUUCACCUGGCAACCGGGGGCCCCAGCAGAGCUCAGAGAGAAGAAGAAGUGGCAUUUUGGCAUCCAUUUUGCUCAAGAUGCUGAAGGCAUCGCGACAAACUGCCCUUUGCUACCGAGGCCAAGGGAACUUGGGGCAGGAAGGACUUUACCCAUCGGGCUGCUGUCAGUUGAGGGCAAGGAGACUCUCAAAGACCAUCUACAACAAGACCCAGUGAAAUUUAUCUCUACUGGUAAAAUUUCAGCAUUCUGAAUAUAUUAUGCCACUCCAGUCUGGCCUGUAAAGUGUCUGCAGAGAAAUCCACUGAUAAUCUUAAGGAAACUCCCUUUUAUGUUACAAAUUACUUUUCUGUUGCUGCUUUCAAGAUUCUGUCUUUGACUUUAAACAGUUUGACUAAAAAAUAAAAAAAAUAAAAAUAAAAUAAAUAGUUUGACUAUAAUGUGUCUCAGGGGGUUUUCUGUGGAUUUAUCAUAGUCCACUUUUAAAAUAUUUUAUUUAUUUAAUUAAUUUAUUUUUUUAGAACGGGUGUGCACACAAGUUGGGGAGCAGGGGCAGAGAGAGAGGGAGAGAGAGAAUCUCAAGGAGGCUCCAUGCUCAGUGUGGAGCCCAAUGUGGAGCUCAAUCUCACAACCCUGAGAUCAUGACCUGAGCCGAAAUCAAGAGUCAGACACUUGGGCGCGUGGGUGGCUCAGAUGGGUAAGCAUCAGCCUUUGGCUCAGAUCAUGAUCCCGGGGUCCUGGGAUCGAGUCCCAUAUCAGGCUCCCUGCUCCUUGGGGAGCCUGCUUCUCCCUCUGCCUCUCUCUCUCUCUCUGUCUCUCAUGAAUAAAUAAAUAAAAUCUUAAAAAAAAA